GGGACCGUAGGGUAGCUUGGACCAUCCUCUCACCUUGGGGUGGUGGACACCCGAGUUCAAAUCUCGGCGGUCCCACCA
rnacentral:tRNA from 1 species